rnacentral:rRNA from 1 species
UACGUAGGGUGCGAGCGUUAAUCGGAAUUACUGGGCGUAAAGCGUGCGCAGGCGGUUUCACAAGCUCGAUGUGAAAGCCCCGGGCUUAACCUGGGAAUGGCAUUGAGGACUGUGGAGCUCGAGUGCGGCAGAGGGAGGUGGAAUUCCACGUGUAGCAGUGAAAUGCGUAGAGAUGUGGAGGAACACCGAUGGCGAAGGCAGCCUCCUGGGCCGACACUGACGCUCAUGCACGAAAGCGUGGGGAGCAAACAGG